UGGGGAAUUUUGGACAAUGGGCGAAANCCUGAUCCAGCAAUGCCGCGUGUGUGAAGAAGGCCUUCGGGUUGUAAAGCACUUUUGUCCGGAAAGAAAUCCUUGGCUCUAAUACAGUCGGGGGAUACGGUACCGGAAGAAUAAGCACCGGCUAACUACGUGCCAGCAGCCGCGGUAAUACGUAGGGUGCAAGCGUUAAUCGGAAUUACUGGGCGUAAGCGUGCGCAGGCGGUUUGCUAAGACCGAUGUGAAAUCCCCGGGCUCAACCUGGGAACUGCAUUGGUGACUGGCAGGCUAGAGUAUGGCAGAGGGGGGUAGAAUUCCACGUGUAGCAGUGAAAUGCGUAGAGAUGUGGAGGAAUACCGAUGGCGAAGGCAGCCCCCUGGGCAAUA
rnacentral:rRNA from 1 species